GGGUCCGUGGUGUAGCCAGGAUAGCACAUGGGGCUUCGGACCCCACAGCCCGGGUUCAAAUCCCGGCGGACCCG
rnacentral:tRNA from 1 species